GGAGGAUCCACAUGUCCCUAUUUAAUCACUUGACUCUUAGACUAAAAUUCUCAGUGGUGAUUAUCUCUAACUCUUUAAUAUGUGCAAUUAAAACGUGGUGGGUGGGAAGAGAAAUGAUCUCAACUAUAUUUGACCUGCAUAAAUCUUAGAUCUGGGCAGGAUUUUCACUUUCAGAGACAUGGAUACAUUUCCGCACAGAUCUAAGGUUGAGAUUGACUGACUUGGAUACAAGUAACAUUUCUUGCAUGGUAAAAAUAUUGCCAAAGCAUUGAUCAUGUUAAAUAAGUGCACACACACACACACACACAAGUUUGAUAAAAUACAAAUGAGAGGAUUUGCUUUAUUUAAAUUCUGUUUUGUUAUUUUAAGAAACUGUAUGUAGUUUUUGGUAUUUUCACAACUUUGGAGCUGAAUUUCAUUCCUGUUCACCAAACUUACAUCCUCCCAGAACAGAUGUUUAGGGGACACGUGGGAAAAAACUAGAAGCCAUUUGCCUUAUUAGAAGUCAGUGUACCGUCAGAUUGCUUUAAACUUUACUUAAAUGUUUUUCAGUGUUGACGAUAUCGUGUGCUGUGACUCUCUCUCUGUCUCCUUCUCAUGGUAGCUCAACGCAAUCUAGAGCAGUGGGGAGGCCAUACAUCCUGAGGCAGAGCUUCUGCGCUCGCUACACUUUGGCGCCCCCUAUCCAGAGAUGAGAAUACUGCAGGCUCUCUUUAAUGCAGCACCCUUCUACACACUGGUUCAGUCAGACACCCCAGACAUUGUGUUAUCUGAUGCGGUCCGGUCAGAUGAAGACCCCACCCUCCUCCUGAUUUCAGUCUAUCCAGCCUCACAUUUCCUGGAUCACGUACCAUCUACAGCUAUUAUUACUCUGUCCACAGACCUCUCUCCACUAAAGCACUUUGUGUUGGUGACAGCCUGGAUUCAGGUUAGAGAGCAAGAGACACUCUUUUCACAAUGUUCUACAUGCACACUAAUGUUCAACAGUUUGGGGUCAGUAUGA
rnacentral:lncRNA from 1 species